GAUGAACGCUAGCGGGAGGCCUAACACAUGCAAGUCGAACGGGAUUGGGAGCUUGCUCCCAUGAGAGUGGCGCACGGGUGAGUAACGCGUAUGCAACCUACCUUUAACUGAGGGAUAGCCCAUAGAAAUGUGGAUUAAUACCUCAUAGUUCUUUUGGCCCGCAUGGGUCGAUAGAUAAAGCUCCGGCGGUUAAAGAUGGGCAUGCGUGACAUUAGCUAGUUGGUAAGGUAACGGCUUACCAAGGCUACGAUGUCUAGGGGUUCUGAGAGGAUGAGCCCCCACACUGGUACUGAGACACGGACCAGAAUCCUACGGGAGGCAGCAGUGAGGAAUAUUGGUCAAUGGGCGCAAGCCUGAACCAGCCAUCCCGCGUGAAGGAUGAAGGCCCUAUGGGUCGUAAACUUCUUUUAUACACCAAGAAAAAUCCCCACGUGUGGGGACCCGACGGUAGUGUAUGAAUAAGCAUCGGCUAACUCCGUGCCAGCAGCCGCGGUAACAC
rnacentral:rRNA from 1 species